GUAAUAAUAAGUUAAUUAAACUAGUUGGCUCAUUCCCAAAAAAUGAAAGAUUUUCUUAUUAAA
rnacentral:tRNA from 1 species